AUCCCACUGACUAGUCCCAAAUGAGACGAAACGCGCGUCCUGGAU
rnacentral:hammerhead_ribozyme from 1 species